rnacentral:misc_RNA from 1 species
AAGUCGUAACAAGGUUUUCGUAGGUGAACCUGCGGAAGGAUCAUUAGUGAAACACAAGAGUGCUCUUAAUUGAGGCUCGUUUUAACUAUCCAUUACACUUAGUGCACUUGAAAUCUAUAUUCUAUCAAACCUUUCGGGGUUUGAGAGUCUAUAACACAUACAUAACCCCUUUGAAUUAUAAUAAGAGAUGAGGAUGUAAUAACCAAUGAAAUUUGAAAGAACAA